rnacentral:tRNA from 1 species
UCAAAAUUAAGGGAACACGGAAUUCCCAAAGACUGAUGAUGACAUUUGUACUAAGAAGAGCUGUCCAGGAAGAGCUCCCCCAACUUUUCUCCCUGGAGUGAAGAGCCAGCUACUCCAUUGGUUCUGAUCUUCGCAGAUGUUAACAGAUCCUGGGAAUCUCUACACCCGACAUGGGGCUCGAACUCAUGACCCCGAGAUCAAAAGUUGCAUGCUCUUCUGACUGAGCCAGCCGGGUGCCCCUGAACUAUGGGUGGAGCCAUCAUGCACCCAGGGCAUGUCCUUCAUCUGGUCACCAGACAAGAGAGGCUCAGAUGAACUCAGGGAAAGUGUCUGUUUAUUAAGUCUAGAGCCCAGAUUCUGAGGAAGAGUCACAUGGAGAAUCCUACAGAGGACCCUUUCCCCCAACCCCAGCCUGUGCUUAAUUAAGUGAGUGGCUUAAGGGACUUGCCUCCUCUUGAAGAUUAAGAGGUGGGUGUGAAUAUUUUCCUCUGGCCCCCUUAAUGUUCUUGAUUACAGUAAUAAAAAUGCUAAGCUCUAUUGCCUCUCGUUGGAGUAAAGGCGGCUGAAAACUCCUCAUUCCCUGAAGAACCUAAUUGUUGAUUCUACUGCAUCUAAACAGGUGU